rnacentral:rRNA from 1 species
AUACGUAGGGGGCAAGCGUUAUCCGGAUUUACUGGGUGUAAAGGGAGCGUAGGUGGUUCGGCAAGUCAGAUGUGAAAGCCCGGGGCUCAACCCCGGGACUGCAUUUGAAACUGCCGUACUAGAGUGCAGGAGAGGUAAGUGGAAUUCCUAGUGUAGCGGUGAAAUGCGUAGAUAUUAGGAGGAACACCAGUGGCGAAGGCGGCUCACUGGACUGUAACUGACACUGAGGCUCGAAAGUGUGGGGAGC